GAUGAACGCUGGCGGCGUGCCUAAUACAUGCAAGUCGAGCGAACGGACGAGAAGCUUGCUUCUCUGAUGUGAGCGGCGGACGGGUGAGUAACACGUGGAUAACCUACCUAUAAGAUUGGGAUAACUUCGGGAAACCGGAGCUAAUACCGGAUAAUAUUUUGAACCGCAUGGUUCAAAAGUGAAAGACGGUCUUGCUGUCACUUAUAGAUGGAUCCGCGCUGCAUUAGCUAGUUGGUAAGGUAACGGCUUACCAAGGCAACGAUGCAUAGCCGACCUGAGAGGGUGAUCGGCCACACUGGAACUGAGACACGGUCCAGACUCCUACGGGAGGCAGCAGUAGGGAAUCUUCCGCAAUGGGCGAAAGCCUGACGGAGCAACGCCGCGUGAGUGAUGAAGGUCUUCGGAUCGUAAAACUCUGUUAUUAGGGAAGAACAUAUGUGUAAGUAACUGUGCACAUCUUGACGGUACCUAAUCAGAAAGCCACGGCUAACUACGUG
rnacentral:rRNA from 1 species